GCCCGCCAUGGUGUUCCGCAUCGCCGCCAAGAACGAGCAGGGCUACGGCCCCGCCACGCAGAUCCGCUGGAUACAAGAUACUGGGAAGCCCAGAGCCUCUUCAGCACGACAGGAACCCCCUGCAGAGUCCCACAAGGAUGGUGCCGACAGCUCUGGUUGAAGGCUUACGCAUGGGGAAAUGGACCGGAAUAGAUACCUGGCCAAGUCUAGCGAAUACCUUGCCAAGUCUUCUGUCCAAAAUAGUUCUAACUUUAUGAAAUGUUCUGGAUAAUUUCAUUUUUUUUAUUUAUAAGAAAAAUCUAUUUAUUUUUUUGUUACCAGUUAAACUGUAUAUACACAUACAAUAUUUUGUAAACGUUUUGCAGAAUGGGCUAUUUUUAGUAGAUGCACUGUGUGUGUGUGUGUGUGUGUGUGUGUGUGUGUGUGUGUGUGUGUGUGUGUGCGUGUGCGUGCGUUCAAUUAUUGAAUGAUGCUGUGCCUCCUGUUUAGGCAACGGUGGGUAUAUUCCAUUCAUGUGAAAUAUAGUGUGCUGUUCUUGGAGGGUUUUAAACACCUGUCAAAACAGACUUUUUUUUUACAUUCCUAUCCACUAGCUUCAUAAGAGCCAAUUCUUUCCUAUAUCCAGUAAUGGACAACUUUUCAUGUUCCUCUUCCUUAAAGUUCAAUGUUCAAAUGUCCUCAGAUUUACCACUGUGUUAGCCUUACCCUUCGCCUCAAUAUCAAGCAUCACCAAACGCUUCAAGUUACAUUGAGAGGGGAUUAAAGUGCAGUAUUAUUCCUUUCAGUUAUUUUCUAAAUUUCUUUUUAGGUAAUCCGGUGAAAGUGCUGUUGUUUUAAACAUUGUUAUUUUAUGCGCUGUUUAAUGAACUUUGCUUAUAUCAGUGGUCAACUGUGCUUGUUAUUUGUUCAGAGAGACAAGAAAGGAAGAUUGGUGCAUGUACCCGUUCAGUUUUUUUGAUGUGAUUUAUAAAGGG
ensembl:lncRNA